rnacentral:rRNA from 1 species
UACGUAGGGUGCAAGCGUUAAUCGGAAUUACUGGGCGUAAAGCGUGCGCAGGCGGUUUUGUAAGUCUGUCGUGAAAUCCCCGGGCUCAACCUGGGAAUUGCGAUGGAGACUGCAAGGCUAGAAUCUGGCAGAGGGGGGGUAGAAUUCCACGUGUAGCAGUGAAAUGCGUAGAGAUGUGGAGGAACACCGAUGGCGAAGGCAGCCCCCUGGGUCAAGAUUGACGCUCAUGCACGAAAGCGUGGGGGAGCAAACGAGGA